rnacentral:rRNA from 1 species
CCUACGGGAGGCAGCAGUGAGGAAUAUUGGUCAAUGGACGAGAGUCUGAACCAGCCAAGUAGCGUGAAGGAUGACUGCCCUAUGGGUGGUAAACUUCUUUUAUAAAGGAAUAAAACGAGGCACGUGUGCCUUUUUGACUGGACUUUAUGAAUAAGGAUCGGCUAACGCCGUGCAAGGAGCCGGGGUAAUACGGAGGAUCUGAGCGUGAUCAGGAUUUAUUGGGUUUAAAGGGAGCGUAGAUGGGUUGUUAAGUCAGUUGUGAAAGUUUGCGGCGCAACCGGAAAAUUGCAAUUGAUACUGGCAGUCUUGAGUACAGUUGAGGUAGGCGGAAUUCGUGGUGUAGCGGUGAAAUGCGUAGAUAUCACGAAGAACCCCGAUUGCGAAGGCAGCUUACUAAACUGUGACUGACAUUGAUGCUCGAAAGUGUGGGGAGCAAACAGGAUUAGAUACCCGGGUAGUC